rnacentral:rRNA from 1 species
GAUGAACGCUGGCGGCGUGCCUAAUACAUGCAAGUCGAGCGAACGGACGAGAAGCUUGCUUCUCUGAUGUUAGCGGCGGACGGGUGAGUAACACGUGGAUAACCUACCUAUAAGACUGGGAUAACUUCGGGAAACCGGAGCUAAUACCGGAUAAUAUUUUGAACCGCAUGGUUCAAAAGUGAAAGACGGUCUUGCUGUCACUUAUAGAUGGAUCCGCGCUGCAUUAGCUAGUUGGUAAGGUAACGGCUUACCAAGGCAACGAUGCAUAGCCGACCUGAGAGGGUGAUCGGCCACACUGGAACUGAGACACGGUCCAGACUCCUACGGGAGGCAGCAGUAGGGAAUCUUCCGCAAUGGGCGAAAGCCUGACGGAGCAACGCCGCGUGAGUGAUGAAGGUCUUCGGAUCGUAAAACUCUGUUAUUGGGGAAGAACAUAUGUGUAAGUAACUGUGCACAUCUUGACGUUACCUAAUCAGAAAGCCACGGCUAACUACGUG